UCAGCCCGCUCUCAGACCACGAACCCGUCUCUACUAAGCAGUUUGAAGGCAGAUCCUCUCAAACUUAACCUCCAUCAACAACAGCUUCAUGGUCUGGAACCCGCCGGAGUUCGUCAGGGAUUGUAUGGAUGAUGGGGAAACCAUGAGAAAAGAGAAGAAACAUUAGUGUGAAUCCUGAAAUCCUGUUCGAUAUCAUGUCCCAGUAGGUUGUUAAGAGAUUUCAGGCAAAUAGGCUUGAAGUGCGAAGUGUUAGAUGUGUUUUUUUUUGGGUUGCCCAAGCUCGAUCUGCUCCGACUCAUUCACCCUGCUCCCUCUGAACUUUAGCUUUCGCAUAAGAGGAAGGUGACAGUUCAGGAGUUCAAGGGGAAACCAUUGGUGUCGUUGAGGGAGUUUUUUACUAAAGAAGGCAAGGAGCUCCCUACUUCUAAAGGUGGAGUAUUAUUUCAGUGAUCUGAACUUAGCUACUACUGAUCAUCUUAUGAGGUUCAUAAACAAAGACCCUGAAGGAUUUGUGCCAAUAUCUGUUGUUGCAUCUUUCAAGAAGAUUAAGGCCCUCGUAAGUAGUCAUUCCUAGCUUGCAACUGUAUUGCGGAACUCCUCAAGGCUUGU
rnacentral:lncRNA from 1 species